rnacentral:lncRNA from 1 species
AAGAUGCCUCUAUUUCUCCAUGAGGACAGACAACAUAAUUUAGAAAGACUGAAAAUAGAGGGCAAGAAGAAUUUUUAAUCCCAUUAUUCACGUAUGUAUACGUAUGCAUGUAUCUUUUUUCUUUUUGCAAUGAAUAUUACUCUGUAUCCUGACAAAGCUAAUAGCCAUAUCCUCCUACUUGGAGAUUUGAGAAGCAUGAGUGUUGGACGUGAUCCUCAAGAUCUACUAUGUACAACUCCAAGAUCUAAGUGUUUUCUUGAAUGAGAACUCAGACUCUCACUUUUGGCAGACUUUACUUGGAGAUGAGAGAUUCUUGAAAUUGGGCUUUUGGUGUCUGUAAUAUUACUGGAAAGGAAAGAAUAGGGAUAAUGAGAUAAAUGACAUGGAGAGAUUCUCUCCUUAGAUUGUUAAAGAGAACUUUCACUACAAUCUAUUUACCACUUCCUCGCUUUUAUUUCAAUAUGUGCCAUGGUCUUUCAGUCAAAAGAAUUUCUAGUUAAUGGAAAGGGAACUGUGAACUUUGUUAAUAUUGUUCAGUUCCCUUUUAUAUAGCACUCCUUCUCUUUAUCAGGCUUGUCUUUUACUGUAGUCAUUUCUGACCAGAAACAAAUCAGGAAAUUAUCUAUAUAUGGAGUAACAGAAGUACCUGAAGGAGCCCUUCUAGUGUGUGUGUCUUCUUAAAUAAGAUGCAUGGGUUAUAUCUGAUUAAGUUCCUUCUAAUUUAAUGAAAGCGCAUUUACUAUACUAUUGGACAUAUU